CAGGACGAACGCUGGCGGCGUGCUUACACAUGCAAGUUGAGCGAGAAGCCAAUGUUGAUUCUUCGGAAGAUACUUUGGUGGAAAGCGGCGGACGGGUGAGUAACGCGUGGGCAACCUACCUUAUACAGGGGGACAACAUCGGGAAACCGGUGCUAAUACCGCAUAACACAUUGAAAUGGAAUCAUUAUGAUGUCAAAGGAGGAAUCCGGUAUAAGAUGGGCCCGCGUCCAAUUAGCUAGUUGGUGAGGUAACGGCUCACCAAGGCGACGAUUGGUAGCCGAACUGAGAGGUUGAUCGGCCACAUUGGGACUGAGACACGGCCCAGACUCCUACGGGAGGCAGCAGUGGGGAAUAUUGCACAAUGGGGGAAACCCUGAUGCAGCAACGCCGCGUGAAGGAUGAAGGUCUUCGGAUUGUAAACUUCUUUGAUUGGGGAAGAAGAAGUGACGGUACCCAAAAAACAAGCCACGGCUAACUACGUGCCAGCAGCCGCGGUAAUACGUAGGUGGCGAGCGUUGUCCGGAAUUACCGGGUGUAAAGGGCGUGUAGGCGGGGAUGCAAGUCAGGUGUGAAAGCCCAUGGCUCAACUGUGGGACUGCAUCUGAAACUGAAUCUCUUGAGUACUGGAGAGGGAAGUGGAAUUCCUAGUGUAGCGGUGAAAUGCGUAGAGAUUAGGAGGAACACCAGUGGCGAAGGCGGCUUCCUGGACAGUAACUGACGCUGAGGCGCGAAAGCGUGGGGAGCGAACAGGAUUAGAUACCCUGGUAGUCCACGCCGUAAACGAUGGAUACUAGGUGUAGGAGGUAUCGACCCCUUCUGUGCCGG
rnacentral:rRNA from 1 species